rnacentral:rRNA from 1 species
UGGUGCCUACGGGAGGCAGCAGUGGGGAAUAUUGGACAAUGGGCGCAAGCCUGAUCCAGCCAUGCCGCGUGAGUGAUGACGGUCUUAGGAUUGUAAAGCUCUUUCACCGGUGAAGAUAAUGACGGUAACCGGAGAAGAAGCCCCGGCUAACUUCGUGCCAGCAGCCGCGGUAAUACGAAGGGGGCUAGCGUUGUUCGGAUUUACUGGGCGUAAAGCGCACGUAGGCGGACUUUUAAGUCAGGGGUGAAAUCCCAGAGCUCAACUCUGGAACUGCCUUUGAUACUGGAAGUCUUGAGUAUGGUAGA